rnacentral:rRNA from 1 species
AUUGAACGCUGGCGGCAGGCCUAACACAUGCAAGUCGAGCGGAUGAAGGGAGCUUGCUCCUGGAUUCAGCGGCGGACGGGUGAGUAAUGCCUAGGAAUCUGCCUGGUAGUGGGGGAUAACGUCCGGAAACGGGCGCUAAUACCGCAUACGUCCUGAGGGAGCAAGUGGGGGAUCUUCGGACCUCACGCUAUCAGAUGAGCCUAGGUCGGAUUAGCUAGUUGGUGGGGUAAAGGCCUACCAAGGCGACGAUCCGUAACUGGUCGGAGAGGAUGAUCAGUCACACUGGAGCUGAGACACGGUCCAGACUCCUACGGGAGGCAGCAGUGGGGAAUAUUGGACAAUGGGCGAAAGCCUGAUCCAGCCAUGCCGAGUGUGUGAAGAAGGUCUUCGGAUUGUAAAGCACUUUAAGUUGGGAGGAAGGGCAGUAAGUUAAUACCUUGCUGUUUUGACGUUACCAACAGAAUAAGCACCGGCUAACUUCGUG